UGCAAAUUUAAGGAUUUAAUUCAAGUUCAAGAUUCGAAUUCAUAAAUUGGAGGGAAAAAGUACUUUUCUUAAGGAAGAUGUCACAAAUCAUAUUCAAAGACCUAUGUUUCAAUUACAAAGUCAUAAAAUUGCAUUACAAAAGUCAAAAUUAGAAAUUACAUAAGAAAAGACAUUUUUAACCUAAGGUUGACUUUUGGUCAACUGUUGACUUUAGGUUAAAUAGUUUACCAAAGUCAAACUGACCACCUAUUCUUUCAUUUCUCUUCAUCCUCAAGAUCUUCCAUUUUUAUGCCUCCAAGGUCUUCAAAAUCUCUUCAUGCUCUUGAUGUCAUGCCUAACCUUCAUGAUGCCAUGCCAAACCAAGUUUUGUGCACCCUAUAAAAUAUACAUUAACCCUACAACAAUGAAAAUGAGUUAGCAUCAUACACAACACUUGGCCCACAUUUCAUACACACAUGCCAAAUCAAGUCAUGACAAUAAUGCACACACAUUCAUAUAGUCCACGUUCUAAAAUUCAACAAGCAUACCAUAAGCACACAAGUCCAAUCUAUCAUGAUUCACCAUUCAAUCACUUAGCCAACUUAUCAUUCAAAUUAACACACCAAUUCCCAAAGAAGCCCAUCUAAAGCAUCAUCAACCAUCACUAUAUGUUUCCAACUUUUGAUUCAAUGCUAACCUCUAAAUUGUCAUUAGCAUUUUUUCUUUUUGUUCAUUAGCCAUAUAACUAACAAUAGCUUACCCAUUCAAACUGACUUCUAACUCCAAACAUCAAUUCAAAAUAAUAUUCCCUAUUUUCUUUGUUUAAAAUAAUUAUUUUACCUAAUUAAUAUUUCAUCUAAACCAACUCAACAUAACAACUUAGUCCAACUAACAUAAUCUCUAACUCCUACUAGCAUUCACUAACUACUAAUUACCAUAAUAGUUCAAACUAACUAUCAAGAUCAUUCCACUAACCUUUAAUCAAUUAGCAUUAACAACUCCAACAACCAAAACACUAACAUCAUAACAAUUCUAAUAUAACAAUCCAAACUAAUUUCUAACCAAAUCCUAGCGAACUCACUAACAGUUAACUAACCUAACUGUCAAAGUUUCUACAUCUAACAUAAACUAAUAGUUGACUACCCUAACUGUUUUUCAAACUACCACUAACCAUGAACCGAUUGACAUUAACAACAGUUAAAAUCCAACAGUUUCACAUAACAGUUCAAAUCCAUUCAUAACAAACAUCAACUAACUCGAGCUAAACUUGCAACCUAACUAACAUUUCCUAUUAAUUAAUUCAAUUAACUAACAGUUCCACUAAUCAAACUAACUAAUUACCAUAAUAGUCCAAUUAACAUCUCCUAGUUGUCAGAAUUCCUAAGUCCUAAUAUCAUUUAUCACUAAUAGUUCAGUUAACCUAAUAAUUAACAUUUCUAACUUCAAUUCAAACUAACAUUGUUAGUUAACUAUUAACUAACUUGGCCCAUGAAUCAACUACCUUCCAUCCAAUUUCACAGCUUCCCUAAAUCUCUAACCAGCUUGCCCUAAUAGUUAUCCAAUUCAGUUAUGAACUCCAUCUCCAAUCUCUCUAUUUAAACUCUCCCUUUGCAAUCACAAUAAACAAUUCACUCUGAUGCCAUUCACUCUUCUAAAUCUGCAAAUUCUCUCCACUCUCUUUUCUAACAACCACAAACACACCUACAACUCAAUCUUCCAUUGUUGAGCAAAACUUCACCUUGAAGUUUGGCUUCAACAGAGCUUAACCUCACCAAUCCUUUACACUCUUUUCACUCAAUAACAACAAUACAAUAAUUCCUAUAGGCUAUUCAUAGAAGAAGAAGAAUAAAAAAUCACUACAAGAAGCAAGGGAUUCAAGGUGAUUACCUGGCUAAACAUCAUCUGGUAUUUUCAAUGCAUUGUCUUCUUCAAGCGCUCCAACACUUCUAGAGUAUACCUCCACUCUGUAGGUAGGCUCGUUUCCAUUGUUUCUUCGUCGUUUUUCUUCAAACAAGUUACCAUGUGUUAGGAUUCCGAAGAAGGAAUGGAAGCCCUAGGGUAAUGGUUUAUGUUAUUGAAUUAUGGCCAUUUAAUUUUAGAUUAAAGAUUUAGGGUUCUUGGAGUUUUUAUGAGGGAUGGGAGAUUUUGAGUGAGUUUUAGACGAAAUAGGUAUGAGAGGUGAUUAGAGGAGGUAAAAAUAAAUCAAGUGGUGGUGGUUGUUUCCGUUUCUGGGUGGCUCUGCUGCCUCCGACACGACAUAUUGAUUUCCAACAAAUGGAGAUGCAAGAGGGGGAGAAGCGCAUGAUAGGAUUAAAAAUUAAAACGAAGGGAGUUUGGUUUCCUCAAUUUUGUUACCCUCACAAUCUUGGGAUUCAAAAUAAGCCCAAAGAUAUUUUACUGCCUGCACCUCAACAUUACUUACUCAAUUCCCUUUUCCAUGAAUUCAAACGAGAACAGAAGGGAG
rnacentral:lncRNA from 1 species